CGCACUGUGUGGUAUCUGCAUCCAGUUGUAUAUCUGACUGGAAUGUUCAAAUGGCAGUGCAAGAGCAACUCGGAUAAGCAUCAGUCGUGGACCUUACAGCCUGUGCGCGUUGGGUCCCUGAUGGUGCCGAGACAGACCA